AUUUUACUCUAUUUGAACCAACAGGAGUUCCAAUAAGCUGCUUAAAUAGACCUGGCUCACAAUUGUUGGGUGCAAAUGGUCGAGAUGAUGGCCCAAUAAUCACACUAUGCUCCAGAGAUGGAAUUAACAAAAUUUUGUUAACAGGAUGUGAUGCUCGUAUCUUUUGCUUGGGAGUUAGACUUGUAAAGCGCCAUACUUUCUAGCAGGUUUUCAAUAUGAUCCCUAAAGAGCCUGAUGGUGAGGUAUUUGAUGAUGCUCUUGCUCGCGUUCGUCGUUGCGUUGGUGCUGGGAAUGCCACUGAAAAUGCUGACUGUGCAGUGACCUCGAAGUGGUUGCUGAUUUUAUUCCAGUCAAUCUUCGAUGCCCUCAUGAAUUACACUUUGAUUUUCUCUUGUGCAUCUAUGUACAAAUGAGUGGUUCAAGAAUGAAAGUUGCCAGAAGAUUCAAACCUUGUGUACAUAUGGGCUGCUUUGAUCUUGAAGUCUUUGUUGAAAUGAAUCAAAGGUCGAGGAAGGCAAGUAACUAGGCCCCAGGUUUAAGUGUCUGUCAGUCUUAGAUGAAAAUUUCUAUUGUGUCUGCUGUUAUUUAGUAACAAAUAUUACUGAUACGUGAUGUUCGGCCUAAAAUCGCAUAUAUUUAUUCAUUGUUGUCUCACAUUUUAGUACUUUUAUUGUUCUUUGAGUAUUAAUUAUAAUGAUUUGUGCUUAAUAUUAUAUUUUACUAUGUAGGGAUAACGCAGUGGAAAAAUAAACAAAUUUGGAGCAAAAUUAAAUAAAAUGCGGAAGUAGGAAAGAAAAGAAAAAAAGAGGGGAGAUGACCAAACAGACAUAAUGAUUACCGUACAAUGCUGUGUUAUGAUGUAAUGAUUACCCCAUUUGAAGACACAAGAAUAGUGUACAAUUGAAAUUUAAGUUGAGAAGGAGAAUGAAAGAAAACGUACCUGGAGCUUCGGUGUGCAAUCAAGCAGGCGAUCAACACGCGUCGUGGCUGUGCUGCAAGCAAAGAGGCUCUCUGAAUAUAUGUUGGCUGUGCGCGUGCGCAGGUGGGGCAGCCCCCAAGUUUUCCUGAUCCGAGUUGGAUUUGAUUUUUAAAAGUCCAACCCUUUUGGUAUUCUAUAAAUACAUAUUUUACAGGGUUUUUACAUAACCGGGGAAAAACUUGAAACCCGUAGUUCAUAACUUUUGACCUAGAGAGAGCUUAGAGUCGCUGUGGGGGGCGUAUUUACAUGGUUUUACCUUCUCUUCUCUGUAUUACUCAUUUUUACGUUUUUUAUUCGGAUGAUUUGUUGUUUUUCCUCCAUGUUUAUGUGGAGCUAAACUCUUUAGUUCUAGGGCUUUGACACAGACAUGAAAG